rnacentral:rRNA from 1 species
GAUGAACGCUGGCGGCGUGCCUAAUACAUGCAAGUCGAGCGAACAGACGAGGAGCUUGCUCCUCUGACGUUAGCGGCGGACGGGUGAGUAACACGUGGAUAACCUACCUAUAAGACUGGGAUAACUUCGGGAAACCGGAGCUAAUACCGGAUAAUAUAUUGAACCGCAUGGUUCAAUAGUGAAAGACGGUUUUGCUGUCACUUAUAGAUGGAUCCGCGCCGCAUUAGCUAGUUGGUAAGGUAACGGCUUACCAAGGCGACGAUGCGUAGCCGACCUGAGAGGGUGAUCGGCCACACUGGAACUGAGACACGGUCCAGACUCCGACGGGAGGCAGCAGUAGGGAAUCUUCCGCAAUGGGCGAAAGCCUGACGGAGCAACGCCGCGUGAGUGAUGAAGGGCUUCGGAUCGUAAAACUCUGUUAUUAGGGAAGAACAAAUGUGUAAGUAACUAUGCACGUCUUGACGGUACCUAAUCAGAAAGCCACGGCUAACUACGU